CCAAUACACACAUACUGCCCCCAAUACACACACACUCUACACAGAUACACUACCCCCAUACACACACACUGCCCCCAUACACUGCCGCCCCAUACACACACAUUGCCACACUCACACAUACACUGCAAUACUCACACACACACACACUGCAACUGUUACACACACAUACUGUCCCACACAUACAAUGCAUCCCUGACAUACACUGCCGCCCUCACUCACACACUACAACCUUCACACACACACACACACUGCUCACACACUGUCCCCCUCACACACACACACACACAUUGCACCCCUUACACAUUGCACCACUCACACACACCACUGCUCCUAUGCCCUACUACAGCCCCAUUUCCCAGCCGACCUCAGGUAAAUUGUCAAACUGUUCUUAAACGGUUUGACUACUUACUCUGGGAGGGGGUCCCGGGACUAUUGACACCAUAACCACUACACUGAGCUGUAGUGGUUAUUGUGUCUGGAUUAUUUCUUUAAAUAAUCUACAAGUGCCCCUCCCGAGAUCAGGCUCUGGAUCCGCCACUGCUAUCAUCGCUAUAAACUUAAACCUAGGUAACUGCCAGAGUAGCUGCUCUGAGUAAAGGAUAUUGGUUAGCCAGAGAGGUUCAUUAGGUUGGUGCUUGAGUGAUGUCCCUGAACUGCGGAGGGGGCCCUCUUUCUUGUACCUACCUGCAAAUAAUAAUAAAAAAAUGCUACUUACUAGAAUGACUCUUUUAAAUAGUUUGUGAACAAAUGCAAUGUGAUGGCAAUAUGUGAUUAAAAAGGCAGGAGAUAUGUAUAAAUCAGUCAAUGUAUUACACUGUAAAACAAAACAGAAAAGUAGGAAUGCAAAAAGAGUGAAGUAAUCACUUCUAAGGUGUAAAUGGAAAUAUACAACCUUAUAAUAUAACAGCGUGAUGGACAAUAUCUACAAAAAGAUAUAUAAAUCGCACAUAGAGUGAUAAAAGUAUAAAUGUCUAGACACGCAGGAUGUAUAUAUUGAACUCACAAAAUAUAAGUGAAUAUCAGGCCCAUCAUCCUUAAUCAAAAAUGGUCUUCAAAGUUAAAUGGAGAAAAUCUUCUUUAGCACUUGUAAAAUAAAGAAACCAAGAAAUAGUACAGAUGGAAUUAAAACUACAAAGAAUUUAUUACAAAGGUCCAGGUAAAAAACAGCAUAUAAUCCACUAUAAGGUGGAGAUAAAAGUAUAGCAAGUGAGUCCCCAAUGUAGUAUUGUAGUAAUGUAUUACACUGUGAUAACCCCCAACAUUGGCAUCCAGUAAAGUGAUA